AGGGCUGUGACUCAGUGGUAGAGGAACUGCUUGGCAUGCAGAAGAUACCUGGUUCAAUUCCCGGUGUCUCUA
rnacentral:tRNA from 1 species